GCACUUUGCACUAUGAAUAUGAUUUUAAAUGCAGUUUGAUUCCCAAAUUUAAAGAACAAAGCAAUUAUGAGAUCAUCCAAAGAUGAUGAAUAAGAGAGUUUUACAACUCAAUACAAUCAAGUUAAGCAUCAAUUACUAACACAAUAAAAACAUUUAUUUUGCGAAAAGGAAUACAAACCCCAGGUAGAUCAACAUCUGUUGG
rnacentral:misc_RNA from 1 species